UCCAGUGUGGUCUAGUGGUUAGGAUACGUGGCUUUCAGCCGCAAGUCCCGGGUUCGAUUCCCGGCACAGGAA